rnacentral:misc_RNA from 1 species
GAUGAAGAACGUAGCGAAAUGCGAUAAGUAGUGUGAAUUGCAGAAUUCAGUGAAUCAUCGAAUCUUUGAACGCACAUUGCGCCCCUUGGUAUUCCAUGGGGCAUGCCUGUUCGAGCGUCAUUUGUACCUUCAAGCUUUGCUUGGUGUUGGGUGUUUGUCUCGCCUUUGCGUGUAGACUCGCCUUAAAAUAAUUGGCAGCCGGCGUAUUGAUUUCGGAGCGCAGUACAUCUCGCGCUUUGCACUCAUAACGACAGCGUCCAAAAGUACAUUUUACACUCUUGACCUCGGAUCAGGUAGGGAUACCCGCUGAACUUAAGCAUAUCUAAGCGGAGGA